rnacentral:rRNA from 1 species
UUAGGUGGUUUUAGCGAGGGGGUUCCACCUCUUCCCAUUCCGAACAGAGAAGUUAAGCCCCUCUGCGCCGAUGGUACUGGACAAAAAUCCGGGAGAGUAGGUCGCCGCCUUUU